GCUUGUCUCAAAGAUUAAGCCAUGCAUGUCUAAGUACAAGCCUCAGUAAGGUGAAACCGCGAAUGGCUCAUUAAAUCACACCUAAUCUACUGGAAAGUUACUAGUUACUUGGAUAACUGAGGUAAUUCUUGAGCUAAUACAUGCGAAAAAUCUCGACUCACGGAGAGAUGCUUUUAUUAGAUCAAAACCAAACGGCUUCGGCCGUCUCAUUGGUGACUCUGGACAACUUUGUGCCGAUCGCACGGCCCUGGUGCCGGCGACGUAUCUUUCAAGUGUCUGCCCUAUCAACUGUCGAUGGUACGUGCUAUGCCUACCAUGGUGAUAACGGGUAACGGGGAAUCAGGGUUCGAUUCCGGAGAGGGAGCAUGAGACACGGCUACCACAUCCAAGGAAGGCAGCAGG
rnacentral:rRNA from 1 species